GAUGAAGAACGUAGCGAAAUGCGAUACGUAAUGUGAAUUGCAAAUUCAGUGAAUCAUCGAGUCUUUGAACGCACAUUGCGCCCCCUGGUAUUCCGGGGGGCAUGCCUGUCCGAGCGUCAUUGCUGCCCUCAAGCACGGCUUGUGUGUUGGGCCCCGUCCUCCGAUCCCGGGGGACGGGCCCGAAAGGCAGCGGCGGCACCGCGUCCGGUCCUCGAGCGUAUGGGGCUUUGUCACCCGCUCUGUAGGCCCGGCCGGCGCUUGCCGAUCAACCCAAAUUUUUAUCCAGGUUGACCUCGGAUCAGGUAGGGAUACCCGCUGAACUUAAGCAUAUCAAUAAGCAGGA
rnacentral:misc_RNA from 1 species